CUAGAUUAUAGAAUACCCGUCCAUUUCCGAUACUGUUUAUUUUGGGGGGAUACGGUGAUACGCAGUGAAUGAAAUGACGUAAUUAUUCGAGUGUUUGGGUAAAUAUUAAGUUUCAAUGAUACGGGGAUACGGUGAUACGCAGUGAAUGAAAUUACGUAAUUAUUCUAAUGUUUCGGUAUCAAAAUAAACGGGGAAUCGUUAAUCAAAUAAUUAAUCUAUAUUUUCAAUAAUAAAGGGUUAUAAAUAUAUUGUAUUUCUCGUUCUUAAUAAACCCCGCACAAAAUAUUACUCCUAUAUAUAUUUUAUUUCUCGUUCUCAAUAAACCCCGCACAAAAUAUUACUCAUAUAUUGUAUUUCUCGUUCUCAAUAAAUCCCGCACAAAAUAUUACUCGUACAUUGUGUUUCUCCUUCUCAAUAAACCCCACACAAAAUAUUACUCAUAUAUUGUAUUUCUCGUUCUCAAUAAACCCCGCACAAAAUAUUACUCGUAUAUUGUAGUUCUCGUUCUCAAUAAACCCCGCACAAAAUAUUACUCAUAUAUUGUAUUUCUCGUUCUCAAUAUACCCCGCACAAAACAUUACUCAUAUAUUAUAUUCCUCACGUUCUCAACUAAACCGCGCACAAAAUAUUACUCAUAUAUUGUAUUUCUCGUUCUCAAUAAACCCCGCACAAAAUGUUACUCAUAUAUUGUAUUUCUCGUUCUCAAUAAACCCCGCACAAAAUAUUACUCAUAUAUUGUAUUUCUCGUUCUCAAUAAACCCCGCACAAAAUAUUACUCAUAUAUUGUAUUUCUCGUUCUCAAUAUACCCCGCACAAAAUAUUACUCAUAUAUUGUAUUUCUCACGUUCUCAACUAAACCCUGCACAAAAUAUUACUCAUAUAUUGUAUUUCUCGUUCUCAAUAUACCCCGCACAAAACAUUACUCAUAUAUUGUAUUCCUCACGUUCUCAACUAAACCGCGCACAAAAUAUUACUCAUAUAUUGUAUUUCUCGUUCUCAAUAAACCCCGCACAAAAUGUUACUCAUAUAUUGUAUUUCUCGUUCUCAAUAAACCCCGCACAAAAUAUUACUCAUAUAUUGUAUUUCUCGUUCUCAAUAAACCCCGCACAAAAUAUUACUCAUAUAUUGUAUUCCUCACGUUCUCAACUAAACCGCGCACAAAAUAUUACUCAUAUAUUGUAAUUCUCGUUCUCAAUAAACCCCGCACAAAAUAUUACUCAUAUAUCGUAGUUCUCGUUCUCAAUAAACCCCGCACGAAAUAUUACUCAUAUAUUGUAUUUCUCACGUUCUCAACUAAACCCUGCACAAAAUAUUACUCAUUAGUAUAAAUCUCCUUUUAAACUACUCGAAUAAUUACGUCAUUUUAAUGACUGCGUAUCCCCGUAUCAUUGAAAAAUAAUAGUUACCCAUUCUCCUCUUAAACUACUCAAAUAAUUACGUCAUUUUAAUGACUGCGUAUCCCCGUAUCCCCGUAUCAUUGAAAAAUAAUAGUUACCCAUUCUCCUCUUAAACUACUCGAAUAAUUACGUCAUUUUAAUGACUGCGUAUCCCCGUAUCCCCGUAUCAUUGAAAAAUAAUAGUUACCCAUUCUCCUUUUAAACUACUCAAAUAAUUACGUCAUUUUAAUGACUGCGUAUCCCCGUAUCCCCGUAUCAUUGAAAAAUAAUAGUUACCCAUUCUCCUUUUAAACUACUCGAAUAAUUACGUCAUUUUAAUGACUGCGUAUCCCCGUAUCCCCGUAUCAUUGAAAAAUAAUAGUUACCCAUUCUCCUCUUAAACUACUCGGAAUAAUUACGUCAUUUUAAUGACUGCGUAUCCCCGUAUCAUUGAAAAAUGAUAGUUACCCAUUCUCCUCUUAAACUACUCGAAUAAUUACGUCAUUUUAAUGACUGCGUAUCCCCGUAUCAUUGAAAAAUAAUAGUUACCCAUUCUCCUCUUAAACUACUCGGAAUAAUUACAUCAUUUUAAUGACUGCGUAUCCCCGUAUCAUUAAAAAAUAAUAGUUACCCAUUCUCCUUUUAAACUACUCGAAUAAUUACGUCAUUUUAAUGACUGCGUAUCCCCGUAUCCCCGUAUCAUUGAAAAAUGAUAGUUACCCAUUCUCCUCUUAAACUACUCGAAUAAUUACGUCAUUUUAAUGACUGCGUAUCCCCGUAUCCCCGUAUCAUUGAAAAAUAAUAGUUACCCAUUCUCCUCUUAAACUACUCGAAUAAUUACGUCAUUUUAAUGACUGCGUAUCCCCGUAUCCCCGUAUCAUUGAAAAAUGAUAGUUACCCAUUCUCCUCUUAAACUACUAGAAUAAUUACGUCAUUUUAAUGACUGCGUAUCCCCGUAUCCCCGUAUCAUUGAAAAAUAAUAGUUACCCAUUCUCCUCUUAAACUACUCGAAUAAUUACGUCAUUUUAAUGACUGCGUAUCCCCGUAUCCCCCAAAAGCAAACACUAUCAAACUUCAAAAG
rnacentral:lncRNA from 1 species